CAGGAUGAAGGAGCUGCUUGUCUUUGUCUGCCGCACACUGAGCUGCCUCCAGUCCUCGGUGCUGUACGAGCAGAGCCUCACUGCAGGCUGGGAACCAGUAUGUGGACCCCUCUGAGGCCCCCUGCUGGUACGACACGGUGCCUCCACAAGACUCGUGGGCGCUCGCAGUGUGAUCAGGAGGUGGACUCUGUCUCCCUCCGCAGGGGAAAAUUUCAAAGGCAACUGGGGGAAUGUCAAGGUGAAUGAAUUUGGAUACAUGUCGGACUUGAAUAAAAUAGAAUCAAAUUUGAAUCAAAUUAAAAUCAUAUUAUUUCCUUUAUACUUCAUGAGUAGUCAUCACUUUGUUAUAAUCACAUAAUACAUUUAUUUUGCAGAAUGUAACAAAAUGUGAAAAUGUUCCAGGGUGUUAACUCUUCAGCAAGGGAGCCAACAUAUUGACCAAAGCUGUAACGGCUGUUUGAAGUGAACACAACGCAGUACAACAUUUCUGAACCGUUUUGUUGGAGGACACAGAUGAGUUCCACCAAACCAAUCAGUAACUUUGGAGUUUAGAUUCUCGGAAUGUAAAGUUCUGGUUCUUACGUGAGCCUGUGAGAUCCACAAGAUCAGAGAAAUGUUUUGGAUUUUUGAGAAAGUCAGAUGUUUCAGGUUUCAAAGUAAGAAUGGUCUUAAAAAUAUGUGAAAUCUCUUGCUUCAAUCUGUGAUCCCUACAGUGACUACUACUGUUUCAUCCUCGUUGUACUGCAGCAGAAAAAAAGCAGAAAUACAUGAGCCUCCUGUUUUAGAAGCAGUUUUAAUGAGAUCUACGAGGAAGUGCAGUUUUCUUUGGUUGUAAGAAGUUAUAAUGGUUCUUCCUCUACUCGUUGCAGUAAGCUGUGCAUGAUUCCUGACUGACAGGAAAUGAGUUGGAUUUUUGUCUCGACAGUCAUGGCUCAGGGACCAAGGGAGUUCUUUUAAUCCCUCUGAAAAAAAUGCAAUGCAAAAACAAAUCUUUAGCAAAAUCUGCAAGAGUGAGCAUACCUAUCAGCCAGAUAAACAGUGUACACAUGCUAGCUAGCUAUGGCAACUCAGGAAAUACUGUACAUUUGCUAAGAUCAGCAUAUGAAGAAAACAAUAGAGCCAAUAUAUUUUUAGAACAGUAAUGUUUAUUUUAAAAUAUUAACAAUUAUAACUGGAAUUAUAUUUUGUUUACUCUAUACAAAUAAGGCAGAAUGAAAAGUUCAUCUUACUUCAACAUUAGUACUAUUUAGUCAGAUAACCAGAUCACAGAUUUUCACAAGCAGUUAACACAUUUAACUGUGUGUCUGUAGACAUUGGGAAUAUAUUUUAAUUAAGAAUAGACAAUAAUAUUAUAAAAUGUGACAUUAUCCUAACAGUAGUAGUGAAAGUAAUGAUGUUGUGUUAAGGAAACAAAUUUAAAUCUUAAUAUUAAUGUAAACAUUUUAACUUGAAUUUCAUUACGGUGAAGAAUUCCUUCUCCAAGUCAAUACAUCAUCAUUAUGCUCAUCCUAGCUCAUCUCUAUUCCAUGCUUUCAGUUAAUGCUGUGGCAACAAUAAUCAUUGCUGCAUAUUACUUCAUCACACAAUUAGUGCACAGCUUCUUGAAAACGGUUUCCUUAUUAUUGUAAUAUUUUCAAAUUAAUGUUCUGUAGUUUCUUUGUCUGUUCACAACAAACAUCCACUGGCUCAUAUUCCAGAACAAUGUGACGCAGAGCUUCUUCCAUAUAAACUACCAACUAAAACAACUAUAAUUACCUUCCACUUAGUAAAUGCACAUUUCCAUUAAAAGUCAUGUUUAUCACAGCUGCAUUGUCAGUUUUGAGGGGCGCAUACUGGACCACUAAUGUGACAUGCUGCGCUAAACAGUAGAUAAUGGCCAAAAAGAUUACAAGGGAUCAUACCCAAGCAGACACUUUAACAACCACGAUGAUUAACGUCACACUGACAUUCAUGCUGAUAUGUGAAGAACAUGCAAGGAUUGGCAAAAAGUCCAGAAAGUUCUCCCACAUAAUAUCAGUAAGUUGUCACUGAACACAGUGAUUUAAUGAAAGGCUUUGGCUUUUCAAUAUAUUCUAAAGCAAAAUUAUUUGUUGAUCUGAAAUGUUUUCAUUAUCAGACAAAGGUUACAAGAGUAGAUACUAAAUACAGUUUUCUGGAUGGGGGGUCAUGCAAUAUUAAAAUGAUCCCAAACAAAGCAGCAAAAGUAAAUCAAAAAAACAUAAAAAAAAAAAAAAAAGCUAAGAUGUUGCAAUGGCUCAAAGUCCAUGCUGUAAAUUGACUGGUGCAAGAGUGAAACAUGAGAAAACUGUGCAGAAACAAAUGUCAGUGAAAGGAAGUGGUGUUGUAAAGAAAUCAACAAUACAACAGUGUGUGGUGCAUUUUAGGCAUUUUUCUGUGUUCUACAUUGCCAUGGAUAUUCAAAAUAUCAGUAUCUCUGUAAUGUUUGUAUUAUGCUACUAUUAAACUCUUGUUGCAUCAUUUCACAAUGACCAGCAAAGCAGAAAUGUAAAAAGAAAAAUUCAAAUGACACAAAAAUGAUUAGAAGAAUAUCUGUCAAAAAUGUUUAGCAUCUCAGGUGUGUUCUGUAGUAAGAUAAGUUCUGAAAUCUAUACAGCAAUAAUUGAUUUAAGGACUGAAAUUGAGUAUUCAUUAGAGAAUGACUUCUCUAACCCUCUCUAUACUGGCUUUACACAAUGCACUGAUAACAAUUCAAUAAAAUAUGAUGUAAUAUAAUAUAUAUAUUUUUAUUAUUAUAUACUGGAAAUCUUAACUUUCAAAUAUAUUUUGGCAGGAUUUACAGCUACUUAACUGCAAUUUGGCAACAAGAAGUGUAGAAAUAAAUCAAAGGCAUUGUCACAUAACAACCACAAGCUGCAAUGUUCUGAGGUUACAAAACGAAAAUAAAAUAAACAUGUUUUGUUUCAGAUUCUCAGUACACAGGAUUUUUAAUAUUAAUCAGCUGUUAAAAUUAAUUAUAAUAUAAAAAUAUCUAAAGUUGUGUGCUAAUAUUAAUCUCUAAAAUAACCCAUACAGGGUCUAUGUAAAUCUUUGGUUAAGAUGUUGAGUAUCAAUUCCAUUGUUUGUCUUGAGUUUACUCUUCUCAUAAUUAACUCCACAUUUAUUUUUGUCUGAAAUAACACAUUGCAGCAUUCCAGAAAUGUGAUGCCUAACAAUACGUCUCACAGAUAUGUGCAUAUAUGUUAGUUUUAUUUUAGUUAGGCAUAUUGACAGAGUCAAUAAAAAAAAUAGCAUUCAUAGUUACUUAGAAACUAAAGAAACAAUUUGGUAUUCUUAGGUAAAGCAACACAACCAAACCUUGUAAUCUAGCAAAUUGACACUAACAACAUUUAAUCAAAAGGGCAAUUUUAAUUCAUAUGUAAAACCUUUUAACUGGCAAUAGAAACUGAAAAAUUACUACAAAAGUAAGUGAACAAUUUAGCAGUUAAUUUGUGACAAAAGUCUUUAAGUCUGCUUGAAAUAUAAUCCAGCCAUGUUGUAUCACUUUCACAACUCUAGAACGAAAUAUAGGCAUACAUAAUUUACACAUAACAGGUCUCCAUUGGUAAACCAAAUUCAAGCCAUUCACUGCAUUUCAGGAUGACAUAAAAUAUGCAACAGGUUCCUGUUUCUUUUAUCUCAUUCUAUGACUCAUGAAUGGAUGAGAUUAUAUGUCUCAGUUAAACACAAAAAUGUGGUAAUUGAAAAGACUCACAAUAAAAGAGACACACCGAGAAAUAAAAGGCUUUUGCAGUGUUAAAAAAUAUCAAAGCAGCUUCAAUAAAAUACCUCUCUCAUUUCUGAUGAAUUUAGUGGAUGAUAUAUGAAGAAAAAACAGCAAAGUUUGGAAAACCGACAGUACUUAAGAUCAUAUUUCAGUUUAAUAAAACAAACAGGAGUUUGAUUUAAUUUAGAAGACAAUUAGUCUCUCCUAAUCUUCUCAGGGAUUUAUCUGACACAUUCUGAAAUUGUUUGUUGCUUCACAGAAAGAUUAGAAAAGGAUUAGAAUAAAUGUAUGAAAUGUGAAACAGAUUUGUGUUGUAAUUUCUAACUAAUCACAAUGCUAGUUAUAAAGUACAAGAAUAUAUCUUUUACUUAUUUCAGACAGCGAAACCCACAAAUUAUAUACAUUCACUACAUACAGAGGGGAACAUUUGUUUAGUUCUUGUAAUAUUGAUUAUCAUUGAUCACAUCAUAUGCAAUAACACAAAUAUUAAAUACUUAAAACUCAUGAUGUCACACUCUAUUCAGAAAAUGAAUUAAAAUACUUCCAAAGAUUUCCUGAGCCUCUAUCGGAUCUCUGUGGGGUCUGCACAAAACCUGACACCCUGUCCAAGGAGGAUAAGCCAGAAAGGAACGAGUGUGGUAGGAAAAGUGACACCAGCAACAGGGACGUUGUUCAACAAUGAUUGGACUGAGGUUAUAAUAAAUGCAUCAAGAGACCUACACAUUGUCACAUUCCUCAAGUCAAACUCUACUGAACCAGAGAGAAUGAUGUCUAUUUCCUUACAAAUUUUCAUCACAGACAUUAGUUAGUAUUUGUGUCCAUAAAAGACUGUUGAAAUUGUUUUAUAAUCAAUGUAUUUUACAUGUCAGUCAACAAUGUAAUAAAUACAAUACCAAUGUUUAAUGUUUUUUGUGAAUAAAAUCACAUAAAAACAAAUACGAUUCAAAGUUUUUCCAGUUAAAUACAAAAACAGACUCUUAUUUCUUUUAUAGAGAUACACAGCCUUCUACAUAUACCAUACAUACCCACGAUAAAGAUCAUAGGUAUCUAAAAUAUAUAAGAUGUAUGAAAAGCAUUAAGCUACUGAAUCUUUUAUUGUAGUGGCAUAAUCUCACACUGAAAAUUUUAGGAAACUGAAAUUGCCUAAUUUGCCAUCAUUUGGGUUUUUCUGUUUUGGUCCUGUCUUGGUUUAUUUAGAUAGUUAUCAUUAAGGGUAUAUUGUAGUCAGGUAAUUUCUUUAUGUUGGGUUUCUUCAGACUUUCUUGUGUUUUACUCGUUUGGUUCAAAUUCACAUUAGUGUCAGUUUUCUGGCUUUGUUUAGCUAGAUUAUCAUGUAUUAUUUUCACUGUGAUUAUUUCUGUGCUUAGUCACCUCCCUGAGUAUCACUGCUCAUGUUCUUCACCAGGUGGACUGCAUUCCACUCAUUUUUCACACCUGGUUCUCGCACUACUCAUUAACCCUCUCAAUAAUUGUUGCCAGUCAGUUUCUUCACCUCCUUGUAAAAUUAUCUUGUUCUUCAACUUCUGCUUACUUUAUGCUGCUUAUCCUGUGUUCCUGUCCUUCUGUUGUUCAAAAUCAGUUUAUGUGGAUCUCUGUUGCUGGUUGUUCAGUUGCUAUAUGUCUUUUUUUAUUUUUAAAUAAAAUUCCUUCUCCAUGAACACUGUUUUCAUGUCUGCGCUCGGGUCCAACUUUUGCAACAAAAUUCCUAUAAGAUAACUCUAAGACAAGUAUUGCAUCUCAAUCUAAAUAUUAUUGAAAUGUUCAUUUAUUUCAGUAACUCAGUUCACUAAUUGAGACAAAUGGUAUGACAUAGUGCUUAACACUUGUAGUCUCUGGCCACUAAGUGCUAUUACUAUUUUAGAGUAAUAGGUUCCUCUAAAAGAGCACUUAGCUUAGCUUAGAAAAACAUUAAGGAGUUUCCUAAUUGUUAUUUAGACUGUCUGGAUUGGCUGGAUACAAAUGAGACUGAGGUUUGGUGUCAAAUCAAAUGAAAUAUAAGCUUAAAACCACAUGUUAACUAUGAUGCUGUGGUCUGUUUUUGAGAAUCUUUCUAAAAUUACUUAGCAUCAUGAACCCUCUGAAAUACUGGGGUAUUUUAAGUUUAAAUCUGCUGGCCUCUGUCAGUAACAUAAAAACUGGUCAUGAUUGGCCCUUUCAGUAGAAUAAUAAUAAGGCAUGUGGAAAACACACCAUUUGAUUUUGUGUCUUAUCAAAUGUCUUCGGUUACUAUCUCAGUUCCCAGACCUAAGACCUUUGGAAAAACUAUAGGCUGAGCUAAAGUUCAUACUUAAGGACCCUGGAGAGAUGAGAUGAAGAAUGAUGAGUGAAGAAUGAAGAAAUCUUCAAAGAUCUUGCUCUCUACAAUGUUGUAAAAAAAAGACUAAGAACUGUACUAUCUACAAAAGGGGGCUGCACAUGCUAUGGUAUUAAUGUCAGGGGUUUCAAACCUGUGGUGCUGGGGAUUUUGUAAAAUCAAGGCACUGGAAAAGAUUUACUCAAAUUGCAUAAUUUAUUUUAAUUGUGAGAUCAUGCUAAUGCAUAUUUUUUUACAAGGUUUGCUACACAUUUCAGAAGAAGAAAUUAGUGUAAAAGAAACUACAGGUUGUUUAUUUUUGGUAAUCCAAGUGAUAUCUGAAUUGAAAAUAUUACAAAAUGUUUUUAUAGGAUGGUUC